CAUUGCUUAUUUCAUAGGAGCUAUGUGAAUAUUUCUGUCUUCCAGAGCAGGAAUCUCCUCCCGAAGAGCUGGUGAUGGAGGAACCACCACCAUUUCACAUAAGUUGGGACUGGAAAAUUUCACCGUUGUCGACAAGACUGUGUGACUUCUCCAGUCUCAGGGCAGUAGUGGCACUCCAGAAAGCAAAUGGCUCAUGGGACCUGACCUCAGCCCUGACCUCAGCCUUGAGGCUCAGCAAGGCUGAAGUUAAGGGCCAAAGGCCCAGUAAGCAUGUGAAGCCGACUGCCUGGGCCACAGUGUUGGCCUUAGUCUGGUUGCACCGGUAUAAAUGGAGGGUAUCUUGGUCAGAACUUCUGGAGGCCAAGUCUUGUAGGUGGCUACGGGACCAAACUGGUAAGUAGAUUUUGCUAGGAGGAGUCAUACUCUAGGCAUUUCCCACAAACUUGCACAGCAAACACCCAUGUUCUUCUUUCCCUGUGCUCCUGUGUGGCAGUCUAUGAGACUGGCAGUACACACUGUCUUCCCUUUCUGAGUUGUGUCCAUCCUCUACCUUUUCUCUCUACUUGCAGAGAUCCAUCUGGAUGAAUGUCUGGAAGCAGCAAAUUCCCUCUUAGGUUGCUUGGUAGAGCCCAUCAGCUUCAGGAUGUGAACUUCCCCAUACUACUGGGAGUGAGCAAAAAGUUGGUCAGGGAUGCAGCCAGGAUUAGUGACCUAAACUGUCUGAAAGGAUAUUCAGUAUCAUUAAUACAACGCUAAAAAUAAAAUAUGAAAAAGAAAAAUGGAGGGGAGAGGAGAAGAGAGGGCAGGGCAGGGCAAGGGGAGGGGGAAACUGGGGCAAGUUGAGGCUGGAGUAGGGGACAUUGUCUUCCAGAGAAGGCAUUGCUUAGAGAUUGGAUGGGCAUCAGUUUACUUGUAGGAGAUGGUGAGUGCCUUUGCAUCAGAACUGGUUGCCUACGCAUUAUUUGUUUUUUCCCCUCUUUUCUUCAUUUAUUAAACUGUCUAUAUCUUGACAUGAGUCCUCUUGCUUUUGCUCUUUUGUGUGCAUCCGAUCCUUCAACCAGUAGCCCCAAAGCCCUAAAGUUCCUUUCGGUCACUUUUGGUCUUCUCUUUUCUAUCUUAUCAGUGCCAACAUGAAAAACCAAUAAAGGGUAAUAAUCAGAGGGAUGUACCAGAUGAGCGGCUUUCCAAGUGAUGUCUCUUACCUGAGCCC
rnacentral:lncRNA from 1 species